AAAACAUACAUUUAAUAGGAAUGAAUGACAAAACAAUUAAUAUAUAUUUUGCUUGUUUAAUAAAACAAACGGUAAAAUAAAUUCUAUAAAAAAAUUGGUAAAAUAAAAUUAUAAAAUAAUAAACACAAGUUGUGUCUAUGCAUUGACACGUCAUCUUUACCUCUUUAUCUCUUUAUCUCCCUCUUUUACAGGACAAAAUCUUCAAUCUUCAACCUGCAACCCUCUUUAAUUUCUUCUCUGUUCUUUUCUUCCUCUGUUUCUUUUUUCUCCCUUGUUAUCAUUCCACAAUUUUUUUUUUCGGUUCUUUGCAUCCUUCAUUUAUUUAUUUAUUUAUUUUGUCGAUAAAUCCUUUUUCCUCCCUUUAAAUCCAAAGAAAAUAAGCAAAAAAGAAUAAGUAACACUGUCACAGGGGUCUGAUUUUUCUUUUUUAUCUUUUUUAAAACAUGGCUUUUAUAAUUUAAAACACUCAAGUUAUGGAUAAAGGCAAAAAUGCUAAUAUGAAUUUGUUGUGAUAUCGUGCAGUGGCUGCGGACCCGCGGCAUAGAGAUGGUGGAGUAGGGGUGCCGCGCGGGAGAACUUGACGGCAUUGACAGCAUCGAGUACUCAAAGUGGCUGUUGCCGUGCUAGUGUCGGUGAUAAAUGUUAUGGCUGAGCCGGUGUCGGCGAUAGAUUGGGUUUUGAGAAGAGAAUGGAAGCAAAGAGAAGAUGUGUUUUGUGUCUUAAUCGUAUUUUGAAGAAGAAAAACUAUUACUCUUUUUUUUUCCCUUUCUUUAUAAGCAAUCACGCGUAAACCCGAUACCCCCCACGGGUUUAGUUAAUGCAGCUUUAACUGUAUAACAACAGUAAUGUUAUGCGGUAUAAUACGAAGUCAGUUUUUAACCAAACAUAGGGUUGUAUUAAUUUAAUGCUAUACAGGAUGGUAAUGUUGUGUAAUGCUGGAUGCCAAACGCAUCCUAAAUGCCAUAUUGGGGGAGAGCUACUAUUGCCAUCCGCAUAUGGCCUAUCUGUGUUAUUGUUUUUGACCAUUUUCACAUCUGAAUUUUCCUUCAAAUUUUGAUCCUCUGCUGGAAAAUUCUAUUGGAUAAUAUAGUGUUGGUGAAGUUUUGUCUUGUAAAUUUUUUUUUUAAUCUUCUUCGAUGAUGUGUUAUUUUUUUAUGUACCUGUAUUAGCGAAGUGCAAUCUUCCUUUGUGAUCAUAAAUUUUUGUCUUGUAAAUUUUUUUAUCUUCUAUUGAUGAUGUGUUCUUUUUUAUGUACAUGUACUAGUGAAAAUGGCAAUCUUCAAUUGUGAUCAAAAUUAAUGCCAGAAGGAUUGGAUGCAUAAUUAUGUCAAUGGGCAAAAUCUUUUGUGGUCACAAGUUCUAUUAUUCUAAUACAUUUUCCCGGUAAUUUUUCUAAUAUUCCCAAAACAAAAACAAAGAGAGAACGAAAGCCCGAACCCUCAUUUGCCCCGGCCCGGCCUCUAUCGCUAACCCAACCCAGAGCACAAAAUAUCAAUAAAUAAAUAAAUAAACAAUGAAAUGAAGAUAAAUACCCACAAU
rnacentral:lncRNA from 1 species